rnacentral:rRNA from 1 species
CACGUAGGGGGCGAGCGUUGUCUGGAUUCAUUGGGCGUAAAGAGCUCGUAGGCGGCUCAGUAAGUCGGGUGUGAAACCCUCAGGCUCAACCUGGGGACGCCACUCGAUACUGCUGUGGCUAGAGUCCAGUAGGGGAGUGUGGAAUUCCCGGUGUAGCGGUGAAAUGCGCAGAUAUCGGGAGGAACACCAGCGGCGAAGGCGGCACUCUGGGCUGGUACUGACGCUGAGGAGCGAAAGCGUGGGUAGCAAACAGG